UACGUAGGGCGCAAGCGUUAUCCGGAAUUAUUGGGCGUAAAGAGCCUCGUGAGCGGUUUGUCGCGUCGGCCGUGAAAACUUGGGGCUUAAACCCCAAGCCUGCGGUCGAUACGGGCAGACUUGAGUUCGGCAGGGGAGACUGGAAUUCCUGGUGUAGCGGUGAAAUGCGCAGAUAUCAGGAGGAACACCGGUGGCGAAGGCGGGUCUCUGGGCCGAUACUGACGCUGAGGAGCGAAAGCGUGGGGAGCGAACAGG
rnacentral:rRNA from 1 species